rnacentral:rRNA from 1 species
GGACUACAAGGGUAUCUAAUCCUGUUCGCUCCCCACGCUUUCGCUCCUCAGCGUCAGGUAAGGCCCAGAGAACCGCCUUCGCCACCGGUGUUCCUCCCAAUAUCUGCGCAUUUCACCGCUACACUGGGAAUUCCAUUCUCCCCUACCUACCUCUAGCUUGCCCGUAUCCACUGCAGGCUCGGGGUUAAGCCCCGAGUUUUCACAGCGGACGCAACAAGCCGCCUACGAGCUCUUUACGCCCAAUAAUUCCGGACAACGCUUGCGCCCUACGUGUUACCGCGGCUGCUGGCAC